UCACGUCUGGCUCAGUUGGUAGAGCAUGGUGCUUGCAAUGCCAGGGUUGUGGGUUUGAUUCCCAUGGCUGAC
rnacentral:tRNA from 1 species